AAAACUUAAGUCAUGACGCAUCUACUGAUAUUGAUUUCACAUUAUGAAUGUUGGUAUUUUUUUAUUACGUUUGUCGAACUUUAUGUGGCUUGACUUCAGACAAAUCUUAUAUGCGAACUAAAAGGACCGGAGGGAGUACAUGGUUGACUAAUCAUUGAUGUUCAAACCAUGAAGUCAUCCAUGUUCAAACAUUUUUUUAUUAUGCUACUAGUUUGAAAGUUUCAAUUUUGGGAAAGGUCGUUGCAGUUCUACUCAGCUACAUGUUUAACUAUUCUCUAAAUGUUAAAAUUUUGAAUAUGUGAUGCAAUGCUUUUGUGUUGUUUCCAACUUUACCAGUAGACGUGAGCACUCAACUUAAUGAGUGUUAGCUUUAACAAGCUUAUCGAACCAAGCUUUAAUGAUCAUGAGUUUAACGAACCGAGCAACUCGUUUAUCUCAUACCUGUCCAUCGAAACAGACCAUUUCUCUUAAAAACUAAUACCCUUCAAGCAUUGUACAUAUUUCUAAGCUUAGAUUACAUCUGAAUUCCAACAAAAUUUAACACAAUUUAUUGACCUGAAGUGGUGUUAAUAAAUGACGGAGCUAAUUGGUGAUAAUCAAAGACGGAGGUAAUUGAAUUUGUCGACAUCAUCAAGAUUUGUUGAUUCCUUCUCUCACGAAAAAGAGAGAGGCUCAACCAGGAUACGGAGAGUAGAUGCCACUGCAAGAUUGGCAAUUCUAGAGAUCGCGUCUUCCGAAACGCAAACUUUGC
rnacentral:lncRNA from 1 species